UCGGAUAUUCAAAACAAUGCUUGGCAUUUUCUUUUGACAUUGAUAUGUGCAAGCUUGAAUUCAUAGGAAAGUUGCAAGUGGUAAGGAUUUAAAAGGAUUUAAAGGACACUGGGAUGGCCACGUUGGCAUGUAAUAUGUGAAUAUCAACACACCAAAAAGAUGUUGGUGUUUGGUAAAAUAAGUACGGAGAUAUGGAUCCAUGAAUGUCAAAGCUGCCCCUAGUUUUUAGGCAUGGGUUUCGUUUAGGAUAGGGAACGGGUAUGGAAAGGAUUUAUCGAAAAAGGAUGCCCCAAUUGGUUUGAUUUUCUUUUGCAUGUUUUUGGCUAGUUAGGGAGUUCUGAAAUAGCACAAGCAAGAAUAACUUUAGCAAGACCAAUGUGCUCUAGUUUGUGGGUAGUAUUAGUGUUUGUUAGAGCCAAACUCUUUUUCUUUUGGGGAAAGGCUGGAGGAUGAGUGUUUUCAAGCAAUGCACACAUACAUAUCUCAACAGAAAGUACUAUCAGUUAUUAAAAAAAGAUAAAAAACGUAUGAUAAUAAUUUACUCAAAAUGGAAUGAUUUCCCUUUCUAUGUUUUUUUUUU
rnacentral:lncRNA from 1 species